UGGGUGAGCAAACAGGAUGAGAUACCCUGGUAGUCCACGCCGUAAACGUAGCUGAUGUGCGACUGCAUGCGAAGCGCAGCUAACGCAUUAAAUGAUCCGCCUGAGUAGUACGUUCGCAAGAAUAAAACUUAAAGGAAUUGACGGGGAUCCGCACAAGCGGUGGAGCAUGUGGUUUAAUUUGAAGAUACGCGUAGAACCUUACCCACUCUUGACAUCUUCUGCAAAGCUAUAGAGAUAUAGUGGAGGUUAACAGAGUGACAGAUGGUGCA
rnacentral:rRNA from 1 species